rnacentral:misc_RNA from 1 species
AAAGUCGUAACAAGGUUUCCGUAGGUGAACCUGCGGAAGGAUCAUUAUCAUAACGUAUCCACGUAUAAACCAAUAACUUUAAUGUGAAUUGUAAUGUAUUUACUGCCUUUAGUAAUCAUUUGAUUGCUAUUAAGAUUACCUACUUUGAUUAAAGGUAUCUAUGAUAGACUUGGAAGCCUUUACCGGCUUUCCUAACUUUGAUUGCUAGAGUGUAAUUAUAAUUAAUCAAACUAUUAACCCAUUGAACCGAUUAACUUAUUAUUAGUUAUUCAUUUUCUUUAUUGUGAACUGAAUUGUUUCUUACUCUUUCGUAACUGAAAGCGAAGAAAUAUGAUUUACGAAACAUAAACAAUGAACAACUCUUAGCAACGGAUAUCUUGGUUCUC